rnacentral:tRNA from 1 species
UGGUUUCAGUGGGUCACCCUUGUGAUGCCACCUGCUUUGGGAGCAGGGGGCCGCGGGUUCAAAUCCCGCCAGCCCGA